rfam:Folsomia candida strain VT population Fcan01_Sc002, whole genome shotgun sequence.
CCAACGGCCCUUUUAAGGGCCACCACUUUCUCCAAAGAGCAGUCAGU